UCCACCAAUUAACCAAAACCCUUAACCAAUACUGAAUGACUCCAUAAACAUAUGGAAUACUAUAUGCUAGAACUAGUAAUAAGAAGAAGACCUUCUCCAAAAUAUAAGUGUGAGCCGAAAUGAACAAUUCACCGGCAUUUAACGCAACUGAACUAAUAGUAGUAACAAAAACAAGAAAACCCUACUACAUGCUGCGUCAACCUUACACUAGAAUAUUCCAGGAAAGAUUAAAAGAAAAGGAAGGAACUCGGCAAACCUAAUAACCCCGCCUGUUUACCAAAAACAUCGCCUCUUGCAAAAUAUAAGAGGUCCAGCCUGCCCAGUGACAAAGUUAAACGGCCGCGGUACCCUAACCGUGCGAAGGUAGCGCAAUCACUUGUUCUUUAAAUGAGGACUAGUAUGAAUGGCAUCACGAGGGUUACACUGUCUCCCUUUUCCAAUCAAUGAAACUGACCUCCCCGUGAAGAGGCGGGGAUAAAAUUAUAAGACGAGAAGACCCCAUGGAGCUUUAAACUCAGUAUCAACUAUCUAACUAUACACCAUCAAAAUUUGAUAGCUCUGACCACUAGUUUUCGGUUGGGGUGACCGCGGAGCAAAACAAAACCUCCACGAUGAACGGACCAAUGUUCCUAAUCAUAGAGCUACAGCUCAAAGAAUCAAAAAAUUGACAUAAAUUGAUCCAAUUAAUUUUGAUCAACGAACCAAGUUACCCUGGGGAUAACAGCGCAAUCCACUUCAAGAGCUCCUAUCGACAAGUGGGUUUACGACCUCGAUGUUGGAUCAGGGUAUCCCAGUGGUGCAGCCGCUACUAAAGGUUC
rnacentral:rRNA from 1 species